GAUUGAAUAGUUCAUGAGGAAAUUGGGAGAAUAGGAGAGAAUUGAUGACAGUUCGCAAUGGAUAAUUGCAUUCUUGGUCUCGAAAUGGAGAACACUCAAAGGAUCAGAGGCUACAGUCUCCAGACGUUUGCGAUUGUUGGGGCUGGACAAUAGACCCAAGCAACAGUGAAGCUAUGUGUCAGUUUUAUUUCAAUAUGGAUGCAACGUUGGUUGGAAAAUGCAGAACUUUGCACGCUAUGGCCAUUUUGUCGCAUUUCCGAGCGAAAAAAUGGAGAUCUCUCGA